CCUCCCAAAGUGCUGGGAUUACAGGCAUGAGCCACCACACCUGGCACCAUAGAGACUUUCUUUGCUAGAUACUGUAACUUUAAACAUAUCAGCAGCUAAAAAUAAACUAUUUCCAUAGAUGAAAUAUUCCAUAUUUCCAGGAUAUUUACGUGGAAAACAGAUUUAAUCUACCUUAAGCGUAAACUUAUUAUUAUUAUGAUUAUUAUUAUCAUCACUACAUUUCCUUGAGUGUAAGCUGCUAUUAGUUAUAAAUCAUAUCACCAAUUUGAUAACAACUUUUUGGUGAAAGAAGCAGCAUACUCACAUUAAGUCUACACGUAAAAAUGGAAAGAUCCUUACAAACAAGAAUAUACUAUUCCCUUAAAACCAAGACUUUACACAAGCAUCCCUAGGCAUUCUCUUUGGUGAUCAUACAUGUCUUUCUCUUUCAGUUCCUUUGGUGACUCCUUUGAUGUCUCUUCUUGUUCAUCUUCAGUACUGUGAGAAAGAAAAGUUGAAUAAAUACUCUCUAAGGGUCAGCUCUGAAAUCAGUUAAAGACUCUAUACGACUGUGAGCAAAUUCAUGAGAAAAUCAACAGAGCACAGGAACUUUGCUGGGAGGGGCCUUCACAAGGUUACAGUUGGAAGCUGGAGUAUGCAGUGGAAGAAGGGAGUAAGUUCAUAACACUACGCUGUUUGGGUUUAGACGGUUGAGACAUGACCAUGGAUAGCUACACAGGUUGGUAGGUGGAUAACUCUACUUUUAAAAUAGAUGAGUACAUACCUUAAAAGAACAAGAGUACACAAUUUUAAAAAUGUAACAAAGCCAACAGUUAACUUAUAUCUGUCUGGUGCCACAUCCCUGGCUACUGAUCCAAGGCUACCUUCUCAUCUAAAAGAAAGCCCCUGCUAAGUUAUAUAGAACCCAAGGCCUCCCAAGUGGUAGAUGUUAAGUUGAAUCUGCAUUGUUAACUGUUACUAACUCUUUGCUAAGAUGCUAAGCAAGCAAAGGAAAAUGCUGGUGACACUGCCUUCUGGGGAGAAGAAAUACAUGAAAACCUAGUUCUAAUUUUGUUAUGUUAAUAACUAGCUAUGUAGCUUGGGCAAAUCCCCCAGGUCAGCUUAGCAAAGAUAACUGCACUUGCUAUGUGGCACACCAAGGAGCCUGAAAGCUUGAGAGACCAAAGGGGGAAAAAGCAGUGACUACAACAACAUUUGCUAUAAAAAUGCAAGGGGAGGUAUAAAUAAUACAACACGUGGAUGUCAUGAGGUUGGUGAGGAGGAAGGGAUUUGUUCUAUUGAGGAGAAAUCAUUGAACCUUGGUUUUCUCAACCAUAUAAUGAAAGGUUUGGACGAGGCUGUCCCUCAGGAUCCCCCCAGCUCUAAACAUCUGUGAUCCAACAGAAGAAAUUUAAGGGAAGUGAUUCUCAAGGAAUCUUCCCUAAGGGCUUAUUACCAGAGACUUGAGGUUGGGCAAAUGCACCUUGUAUUCCUUCAAAGUCCUCUUCUAUGGGACUCGAGGUCUAAAAAAGAACAAAAGAAAAGCAAAGAAAGGAGGUUCACUGGAGGCAGACAUAUUAAAAGGUCAAUAAUUUCUUGAUGUUCUUAAAUCUUGAAAAUCUUCAUAAGAUCCCUGCAUCUUUAUAGAAAAAGCACAAACUUGCUUCCUAGACAUUAAGUACUUAUUUGUAUCAUAUGUCCUCUCCUCAGUAAGUCCUCCCUCACCUCUCAUUGUGAAGAGGAAUUAUGUGACUCCGCCUCCUUAUAUCACUAUCCCUAUUCAACCCAAUCUUCCAACAAAGAUAUUUUGGUUCUUGGGAGCUUUAUCAGAAGAGCUAAAGAAGGCUUAAAAGCUGGCCCAGUCUGCAAAACUACUCUACGAGGUAAGAAGUCAGAACAAUGGUUCCUUUUGGAAGAGGCAGUGACUGGAUGGGAUCACAAGGGGUCUUUUGGGGACUAGUAAUGUUUCAUUUCCUUUUUUUCAAACAAGGUCUUGCUAUGUUGCUCAAGCUGUUCUCA